UACAGAGGUCUUCAAGCGUUGUUCGGAUUCAUUGGGCGUAAAGGGUGCGUAGGUGGUGAUGCAAGUCUGGUGUGAAAUCUCGGAGCUUAACUCCGAAACUGCAUUCGAUACUGCCGUGCUUGAGGACUGGAGAGGAGACUGGAAUUUACGGUGUAGCGGUGAAAUGCGUAGAUAUCGUAAGGAAGACCAGUGGCGAAGGCGGGUCUCUGGACAGUUCCUGACGCUGAGGCACGAAGGCCAGGGGAGCAAACGGGAUUAGAACCGGUACCGACA
rnacentral:rRNA from 1 species